CCUACGGGGGGCUGCAGUGGGGAAUAUUGCGCAAUGGGCGAAAGCCUGACGCAGCGACGCCGCGUGAGGGAUGAAGGUCUUCGAAUCGUAAACCUCUGUCAGCAGGGAAGAACGGUCACUGUGCUAAUCAGCAGUGAAUUGACGGUACCUGCUAAGGAAGCACCGGCUAACUCCGUGCCAGCAGCCGCGGUAAUACGGAGGGUGCGAGCGUUAACCGGAAUUACUGGGCGUAAAGCGCUCGUAGGCGGUAUGUCAAGUCAAGGGGGAAAUCCCCGCGCUCAACGUGGGAACUGCCUUUGAAACUGGCAAACUGGAGUGAGUGAGAGGAGAGUGGAAUUCCAGGUGUAGGAGUGAAAUCCGUAGAUAUCUGGAGGAACAUCAGUGGCGAAGGCGACUAUCUGGCACAUAACUGACGCUGAGGAGCGAAAGCGUGGGUAGCAAACAGGAUUAGAUACCCGGGUAGUC
rnacentral:rRNA from 1 species